GGAUGCUUUUCCAGUACACCUCAAAAAGUUGAAACUGAAGGGAACUUUGGUGCCAUGGGAUGCUAUGACAGUUAUUGGUAUGUUGCCUAACCUCCAGGUUCUUAAACUUAUAAAUGAAGCUUGCCAAGGACAACAUUGGGAACUAAGUGAAGGUAGUUUUCCUCAGUUAAAAUCAUUGCUUAUUUAUGGAUCAGAUUUGAGGCACUGGGAAGUCACUAGUGAUGAUUUUCCUGUUCUUGAGCGCCUAAUUAUUAAAGAAUGUUAUGAAUUGGAAGAAAUCCCUUCUAGUUUUGGAGGAAUAGUCACUCUACAGUUGAUUGAGUUGUGCCAUUGUUAUUCUGGGCUUGUCAACUCAGCCAACGAAAUACAAGAAGAGCAAAGAGAUUAUUAUGGAAAUGAUGAACUUGUUGUUCGUGCCUACAAUAUUUGGAGAAUUGGUGAAGAGGAAGUAGAAUGAAGAUAGUGAAGGAGAUUUUGAGAUCAGAGUUGGAAAGAAAUCUGUAGAGGAUGAGUGUAAUAAUG